GAGAGAGUUAGAAACAAAAAUGAGGUUCAGCUGCGCGUUGAAGGUGGCUCACAUUCUGCUUCUUCUGCUGAUCCUUUUCACAUUUGGUAAGUUUUUAAUCCAAUCAAUUUUCACUCAUUAAUUAUACCGUCUCACUCUUUCCAGAUCUGAUUAAUUUUUAAAACGUCUUUUGUGUUUUGAUUUAAUCCUUAUUUUUAUUUUUAAGCAAUUUAGGUUCCUUACUUUUAUUAUUGGUUUCUUCUUUCUACACUUCAAUUCUUCAGCGUAUGCCAAGAAGUCAGCCGAUGUUACCGAGCUCCAGAUCGGCGUCAAGGUAUUUCUUUAAAUAUGUUGAAACAUUUUUGAUUAACUUUUACAAUGAUUUGAUCUGAGGUAAAUCGAAUGUUGUCAAAUGCGUCUCUCAUUAGCUUUAAUAUGAUAUUUUGGUUUGGAGAAUUUUAUGGCGUAUAUAUACAUACAUACAUAUAUUUAUAUAUUCAUUCUUCAUGNNN
rnacentral:lncRNA from 1 species